GUUGAAACAUCGGUUCCCGUACGAUGACCGAAGUUAAGCAACGUCAAACCUGGUCAGUACCUACAUGGGUGACAACUUAGGAAUACCAGGUGCUGUAA